GACGAACGCUGGCGGCGUGCUUAACACAUGCAAGUCGAACGGAAAGGCCCUGCUUUUGUGGGGUGCUCGAUUGGCGAACGGGUGAGUAACACGUGAGUAACCUGCCCUUGACUUUGGGAUAACUUCAGGAAACUGGGGCUAAUACCGGAUAGGAUCUCCUGCUGCAUAGUGGGGGUUGGAAAGUUUCGGCGGUGGGGGAUGGACUCGCGGCUUAUCAGCUUGUUGGUGGGGUAGUGGCUUACCAAGGCUUUGACGGGUAGCCGGCCUGAGAGGGUGACCGGCCACAUUGGGACUGAGAUACGGCCCAGACUCCUACGGGCGGCAGCAGUGGGGAAUAUUGCACAAUGGGCGGAAGCCUGAUGCAGCAACGCCGCGUGCGGGAUGACGGCCUUCGGGUUGUAAACCGCUUUCGACUGUGACGAAGAGUGAGUGACGGUAAUGGGUAAAGAAGCACCGGCUAACUACGUG
rnacentral:rRNA from 1 species